GUGUUUCUCCUUCUUAUUUGCUUUUUUCGUUUUAACAUAUAAAUAUGGACUUAAUUGACAUUUUCAUUAUAUAGUAUAAAAGUUGUUUCUGUUGAAAUGGGACGCAAAUAAUCGUCUAAAGAUGUCCUGUCUCUGUCGAGUGUUUCCCUCAUCCCUCAUUCUACACGACCGAUCGGUUUCAAGAAUGACCUACAGAAUACAUUCUGACACUCAAGUCAGAAUUUUCCUCUGUAGACCUCUUGUAAUUCAAUAGUAAGUCAGUCAGAAUGAGUUUAUCUCUAUAUUAGAUUUCUAUUUAUAGAAUUUAUAAAAAUCUGACCAAUUAAUUUAUUUCUUAAUGAUCAUUUAUGCAAACUUUAAA
rnacentral:lncRNA from 1 species